rnacentral:rRNA from 1 species
AUUGAACGCUGGCGGCAUGCCUUACACAUGCAAGUCGAGCGGAGAUGAGGUGCUUGCACCUUAUCUUAGCGGCGGACGGGUGAGUAAUGCUUAGGAAUCUGCCUAUUAGUGGGGGACAACAUUCCGAAAGGAAUGCUAAUACCGCAUACGUCCUACGGGAGAAAGCAGGGGAUCUUCGGACCUUGCGCUAAUAGAUGAGCCUAAGUCGGAUUAGCUAGUUGGUGGGGUAAAGGCCUACCAAGGCGACGAUCUGUAGCGGGUCUGAGAGGAUGAUCCGCCACACUGGGACUGAGACACGGCCCAGACUCCUACGGGAGGCAGCAGUGGGGAAUAUUGGACAAUGGGGGAAACCCUGAUCCAGCCAUGCCGCGUGUGUGAAGAAGGCCUUAUGGUUGUAAAGCACUUUAAGCGAGGAGGAGGCUACUGAGACUAAUACUCUUGGAUAGUGGGCGUUACUCGCAGAAUAAGCACCGGCUAACUCUGUGCCAGCCGCCGCAGUAA